GUCUCUACUAAAAAUACAAAAAUUAGCCAGGCGUGGUGGCAAACGCCUAUAAUCCCUAGCCACUCAGGAGGCUAAGGCAGGAGAAUCGCUUGAACCCGGGAGGAGGAGGUUGCAGUAAGCUGAGAUUGCGCCACCGCACUCCAGCCUGGACGAGACAGUGAGACUCCGUCUCAAAAAAAAAAAAAAAAAAAAAAAUUUUAAGUGAAUUUAGAGGCAGGUGACACAAUUCAACCGCUAACUUAGACCCUAAUCAAACCCUUCCACUGGUGUCUGUGGAGUUUGUUUCUUUUUCAUGCCUCCCCUUUUUAUCUUCUCUGUGUCUAUCUGUACUUCUCUAACCAGGAUCUUUACAGCCAUAAUGCCCAUGGUAGCAGCGGGACUGAUAAUAGAUGACCCCACACUGCAGCCUGUCCGACGACUUGUUUCCCUUGUAGGCACUGUGUGUGUUUUGGGUUUUGUUUGAGCUGCUCCCUUGGAAUGUCUGCUUCGGCUACUGCUGGGGCUGACCUGUCUCCCCCUGGCCACUUAAGCUGCAUGGCCGCCACCUGUGUGCUCCAUUUGACGUGGAUGUUGAGUGUGAUUUCAGCUGUGCCACUGGCUGCGCUCGGUCUACUCGAGCGAAGCCUCAGAAUUCUCGGCUCUGUCACCGAUAAUUCUUUUUGUCUCUUCUGUUUCUGUUUUAAAACCACCUUGCCCAUGAUCCAGUAAAGAAGGUCCUUUAAGUGACGGGUCAGUAAUCAACGCCCACUGCGGUCCCCGAGUGACACUAACCCUAUGUUUUUGAUGUUCACCCUGUAGCUUUCUAAACUGCUUUGUUUUCCAAGCCAUCUUCAAGUCAGCCAUUUGAUCUUGUUUUAAAAAGAAAGGCAGAGGAGGGGACCAGUGUUUUGAUUCUGUCUGUGUCAGAAGUGCUAAGUGGCCUUCCUGUUUACCUGAGUCAGAGAGAGGUGAAGCGUAACUGUGAGGUGUUGCUGCUGUAUUUUUCGCCAGCUAAUUGCCUGGAUUACCCUAUGGAAGGAGCUCACAAAUAACCCAGUGUGAGAAUUGUGCCUUCAUUCACCAGCACACUUACCUGUCACAGAGAAAAGGCAUCUUAGUCGCUAGGGAGAGUUUCAUCAGAUAAACUUGGCUUGCCGUGGCUCUGCAAUGAAAGAUCAGUUUAUUCCUGGUAGAAAGUGAUUGUAGGAUCCAGUAACCACAGAAGAGUGAAAUCAUUUUCACCCAGAUGUGAUUAAAACUAAACUCUGGAGGCUGCAACACUAGCAACCAGCAAACAGAGGGAACCAAAAAUAGUUUAUCCAAAGCUUUGAUUUCGCAGUGGCUUUGUUCCUAUUCUUGCCUCCCAGGAAACAUAACAUGCUAUUAUAUGAUAUCUCUUACCAAGUUCAGAGCCAUAAUUCACAUAGUGGCUAACGCCUGUGAUCCCAGGUGUUGGUGAUGGCCGGGCUCGGCAGCUCAUGCCUGUAAUCCCAGCACUUUGGGAGGCCAAGGCAAGUGGAUCAUUUGAAGUCAGGAGGUUGACACCAGCCUGACCAACAUGGUGAAGCCCUGUCUCUACUAAAAAUACAAAAAAAUUAGCUGGGCGCAGUGGCAUGCACCGGUAAUCCCAGCUGCUUGGGAGGCUGUGGCAGGAGAAUCGCUUGAACCUGGGAGGCAAUGGUUGCAGUGAACUGAGAUCAAGCCACUGCACUGCAGCCUGGACGACAGAGCGAGACUCCGUCUCAAAAAAAAAGAGUAGAACUUGGUGACAACAGAAGGAAUCUUAAUAGAGCCUGGUAGUAUCAAAGGACAGUUUCAGGAAGAGCUUUUGGGAAUUCCUCAAGGUAGGCCAAUUUCAGGUUCACUGACCAGGGUCCUAGUUUGUUUACAUGACCUCAAAGCAGACCUUGUUUUAAAGGGACUACUUUGGCCAGGCACAGUGGCUCACGCCUGUAAUCCCAGCACUUUGGGAGGCCAAGGCAGGUGGAUCACCUGAGGUCAGGAGUUUGAGACCACCUUGGUCAGCAUGGUGAAACCCCAUCUCUACUAAAAAUACAAAAACUUAGCUAGGUGUGGUGGCGGGUGCCUGUAAUCCCAGAUACUCAGGAUGCUGAGGCAGAAGAAUCACUUGAACCGGGGAGGCGGAGGUUGCAGUGAGCCAUUGCACUCCAGCCUGGGCAACAAGAGCGAAACCCCAUCUCAAAAAUAAAAAAUAAAAAUAAAAAUAAAUGGACUACCUUGCAGGCUUUUUGCUUGUGACUUUUUUUUUCUUUUUUUUUUUCUUUCUUUUUUCUAUGGUAACAAACUCAAGUAUGCUUGUGACUUCUGCCUUUAUCUUUCAGGCAUCUGAAAGUUCCUGAUGGCUCUCUCUGAUCAAUAUGCAACAGUCACAGCUGUUUUAAAAAGACCUCUGUCUACCUCAGUUAAAGUCUGAGGCCAGACUCACUGUGGCUGUGUAGCUGGUUACAGUGAUACGGCCUAAAGGCUUUCACCAUUAGAUCUAUUUUUGAAAGUGCAAAUGGAUGUUUCCCUAAUUUUAUAUCAGAGAACCAUGCGUACCAUGUUUUACUUAUAUAUAUAUACUUAUUUUAUUUUUUUAGACAGAGUCUCGUUCUCUUGCCCAGGCUGGAGUGCAGUGGCGUGAUCUCGGCUCACUGGAACCUCCGCCUCCCAGAUUCAAGCGAUUCUCCUGCCUCAGCCUCCCAAGUAGCUGGGAUUACAGGCGUGUGCCACCACACCUGGAUAAUUUUCGUAUUUUUAGUAGAGACGGGGUUUCACCACGUUGGCCAGGCUGGUCUCGAACUCCUGACCUCAAGUGAUCUGCCUGCUUCGACCUCCCAAAGUGCUGGGGUUACAGGCGUGACCCAUCGCGCUCAGCCCAUAGUAUAUUUUUUAUUGUUCAUUUUUCUUAAGUACUUCCUUUAGCCUCAUCUAAGCAGUAAUGUCCAUGAAAUCUGGGCCACAGUUUCCUGACUGACAUUAAACAAAUACAGAACUAUUUAAAUUAGAAAUACUCAUCCGUUUACAACAGAAUCCUCUUAUAUUCCACACGGUUUUCAAGUAUUCCUUUCUCUGCGUCAUUAGGGUAAUUAAAGAAACCCAAGAUUUGUUUCAGCAGCUUUUGAUUUCCACUGGUAACGGGAUAAAUCCUCCAUAGCGGCUAACGUGGAAGACACCUCACACAUCACAUCAGCAUGCAUGCCUUGCCCAUACCGCGUGACCUCCAACGUACCGUGUCCAAAUGACAUGCAGAAUACCCUGCUGCUUUCUUGGAAUAACUUUGACCUGCACCCCCAACUUUGUCUUUCACACCUUGAAUUGAUUUGCUCCCUUCUAAGUUUGCUGCUAUAUGUCUCCGGCACUGCAAAAAACGUGACGUGCACAGCAAAGGGUCAGCUCUCAUUUCUGUGUUUGCUUUCCCUUCCAAAGGUUUAGCUUCUUCUCCCGAGAUAAGAAGCGCCUGGCCAACACGCAGAGAAACGUGCACAUCCAGGAGUCCUUUGGACAGUGGGCAAACACCCACCGCGAUGACGGUUACACAGAGCAAGGACAGGAAGCCCUGCAGCAUCUGUGACCUUGGCCCAUCUCCACCCUCCAACCCGGACUGCCCACCACCAGCGCCUGCGACCGAACUGCAGCCCAGGGGUCAUUGCUGCCUCAAGCCGCUCGGUGCAGACGCACCCUGAAAACUGACCCCUCAAACAGACUGUCUGAUUUGAGGAUGGACAUUGAAAAACCGACGCCAAACUCUAAAGAAAUGUUUAUUUAUACCCAGGGCUAUCACUGUUUCUAAUAGAUGACUCUGAUCCCGUAGGAUAUAUAUUUAAUAAUCCCACAAACGGAGGCCAGACUUCUGCGUUAACUUCAGUAACACAAGCUUCUUUAAGCCAAAUACAUCACUUGCCACUAUCA
rnacentral:sRNA from 1 species